AUUGAACGCUGGCGGCAGGCCUAACACAUGCAAGUCGAACGAGUGGCGGACGGGUGAGUAAUGUCUGGGAAACUGCCUGCUGGAGGGGGAUAACUACUGGAAACGGUAGCUAAUACCGCAUACCAUCAGAUAUGCCCAGAUGGGAUUAGCUUGUUGGUGGGGUAACGGCUCACCAAGGCGACGAUCCCUAGCUGGUCUGAGAGGAUGACCCGCCACACUGUGACUGAGACAGGGUCCAGACUCCUACGGGAGGCAGAAGUGGGGAAUAUGGCACAAUGGGAGCAAGCCUGAUGCAGCAAUGCCGCGUGUAUGAAGAAGGCCUGUGGGUUGUAAAGUACUUUCAGCGGGGAGGCGUUACCGGCAGAAGAAGCACCGGCUAACUCCGUGCCAGCCGCCGCGGUAAUAC
rnacentral:rRNA from 1 species